rnacentral:rRNA from 1 species
UACGGAGGGGGCUAGCGUUGUUCGGAAUUAUUGGGCGUAAAGAGCUCGUAGGCGGUUUGUCACGUCUGCUGUGAAAUCCCGAGGCUCAACCUCGGGCCUGCAGUGGGUACGGGCAGACUGGAGUGCGGUAGGGGAGAAUGGAAUUCCUGGUGUAGCGGUGAAAUGCGCAGAUAUCAGGAGGAACACCGGUGGCGAAGGCGGGUCUCUGGGCAUCUCCUGACGCUGAGGCGCGAAAGCGUGGGGAGCAAACGGG